UCUCUCUGUGUGUCGCUGUGCAAAUGACAUAGCACAUAAUUCUGUUUUCCAACACUUAUUGAUUAUCGUUUUGCUUAUCUUUCAUUUAAGAGAUUAUUAACAAAUGGCACCGAGCUCCGUUGUUGUUACAAUGGAGAAUACUAAAAACAUUUCAUUAGUUGAAGUCAAUGAUUUGGAUUCACCAGCUUUUAGGGAUAAAAACAAGGCUGCAAAUCCCAAGAGAUUUACUAAAGUGUUGUUACUGAAAGCCCAGAGGACACUUGGCUGUAUCCCAAAAACAUUUGCAUCUGUUAAGAAACGGAUUGCUUUAUCAGAUGAAGAGCCAAAAUACAGGGGGAAGUUGUACAGAUUUAUUAGAGCUUUUCUUGCUAUAUCAGUGGUGGCUUUGUGUAUUGAGAUUUUUGCUUAUUUUAAUAAGUGGGAAUUGAAUCUGGUGAAUCCUUGGGAGGUGCAAAGUAUUUUGCAAUGGACUUAUAUGGCUUGGAUUUCAUUUAGAGCUGAUUAUAUUGCUCCUUCCCUUUCAAAACUUACUACAUUUUGUAUUGUGCUUUUCCUUAUUCAAUCCAUAGAUCGACUUGUUCUUUGUCUGGGAUGUUUCUGG
rnacentral:misc_RNA from 1 species